rnacentral:rRNA from 1 species
GACGAACGCUGGCGGCGUGCUUAACACAUGCAAGUCGAACGGAAAGGCCCUGCUUUUGUGGGGUGCUCGAGUGGCGAACGGGUGAGUAACACGUGAGUAACCUGCCCUUGACUUUGGGAUAACUUCAGGGAACUGGGGCUAAUACCGGAUAGGAGCUCCUGCUGCAUGGUGUGGGUUGGAAAGUUUCGGCGGUUGGGGCUGGACUCGCGGCUUAUCAGCUUGUUGGUGGGGUAGUUGCGUACCAAGGCUUUGACGGGUAGCCGGCCUGAGAGGGUGACCGGCCACAUUGGGACUGCGGUACGGACCAGAAUCCUACGGGCGGCAGCAGUGGGGAAUAUUGCACAAUGGGCGGAAGCCUGAUGCAGCAACGCCGCGUGCGUGAUGCCGUCCUUCGGGUUGUAAACCGCUUUCGCCUGUGACGAAGCGUGAGUGACGGUAAUGGGUAAAGAAGCACCGGCUAACUACGUG